GGAAUAUUGGACAAUGGGCGCAAGCCUGAUCCAGCCAUGCCGCGUGUGUGAAGAAGGCCUUCGGGUUGUAAAGCACUUUCAGCGAGGAGGAAGGGAGUUGUGUUAAUAGCACAGGUUCUACACGUUACUCGCAGAAGAAGCACCGGCUAACUCCGCUCCAGCAGCCGCGGUAAUACGGAGGGUGCAAGCGUUAAUCGGAAUUACUUGGCGUAAAGCGCACGUAGGCGGUUUGUUAAGUUGGAUGUGAAAGCCCCGGGCUCAACCUGGGAAUUGCAUUCAAAACUGGCAAACUAGAGUAUGUGAGAGGGGGGUAGAAUUCCAAGUGUAGCGGUGAAAUGCGUAGAGAUUUGGAGGAAUACCAGUGGCGAAGGCGGCCCCCUGGCACAAUACUGACGCUCAGGUGCGAAAGCGUGGGGAGCAAAC
rnacentral:rRNA from 1 species